AGGACGAACGCUGGCGGCGUGCUUAACACAUGCAAGUCGAACGGAAAGGCCCGCUUGCGGGUACUCGAGUGGCGAACGGGUGAGUAACACGUGGGCAACCUGCCCUCAGCUUCGGGAUAACACUUGGAAACAGGUGCUAAUACCGGAUAAUAACCUUUCAUCGCAUGGUGGUUGGUUCAAAGUUUUUCGGCUGAGGAUGGGCCCGCGGCCUAUCAGCUUGUUGGUGGGGUAAUGGCCUACCAAGGCGACGACGGGUAGCCGGCCUGAGAGGGCGACCGGCCACACUGGGACUGAGACACGGCCCAGACUCCUACGGGAGGCAGCAGUGGGGAAUAUUGCGCAAUGGGCGGAAGCCUGACGCAGCGACGCCGCGUGAGGGAUGACGGCCUUCGGGUUGUAAACCUCUUUCAGCUCUGACGAAGCGUAAGUGACGGUAGGAGCAGAAGAGCACCGGCCAACUACGCGCCAGCAGCCGC
rnacentral:rRNA from 1 species